CAGGUCGCAUUGGCCUCAGGUCAGAUGAUCCUCAAGACAGAUCGGCCUGAGUGUAAAUAAGCCUCAGGACGUUUGGUUCUCGAAACACUUGGUACUCAAACCACUUGGUCUCUAAAAUGUCUCAGAGUGAUUGGUAAUUAGGGAAAAGUGUACCAAGUGGGAGUCAAACGGUUAAACAUCAAUUAUACAGCUUUGUGACUCGUCUCUGAUCGCCGCCACACACACACACACACAGACACACUCAGGCAGGUGAAGCGGGUGGAAGUGCAUUGUUAUUACCUCCAUGCGCCACGGUAUCCAUAGCGCCCCUCCAAGCCUUGCCCCUCCAAGCCUUGCCCCUAGACUCGGGUGUGUAGGAGGAAGAGGAGGAGGAGGGGCAAGGAGGAGUAUGGGUACCAUUCGCCCCAGUACCAAGUGACUGCAAACCAAGAGAGGCGUCCACGGUGCCACCAAGGAAGCCAAGGGUGCUGCCUGGAUGGGUUCAUCACUUUGGCUGGCAUGCCUGUCACCUCUCCAAGGUUGCCACGAAAAGUAAAACGUGUUUUACGGAUCAUCGUUACAUUCCAGCGCCUCUUAAUUGCCUACGAAAUGUUUACUUAACCUCUACACGCCAAGAAAUGAGACUUCAGUUCAUAAUCGUGCAUGAGGAGAAUAAUAUUUUGAAAUCCGCGCCAUGACGUCACAGCAGAGACAUCCUGCGCGCGCAGGCCAGUGUGUGCGGCGGUAUGUUUGCUUUGUGUGUCGUGUCAAUGGUAUGUGAACUUCUGACGUUUUAUUAGUUAUUUUCCCAACCAUGGUGCGUGACAUGGUGGCGGGAGGUGUAAUGGUGCACGGCGCGAUGGUGAGACAUGGUGGUAAUGGUGCAGAGCGAUGAAAUGCUGAAAUUACUGGCGGUGGCAGGGAGGCGUAGGCGUGGCGGCAGGACGGUGUAGUGAUGAUGACUUCCUUGGCAAGUACAGUACGAACCACUCUUGCCCGGCUAUCAGCGACGACCUCUGCGUGCCGGGGUUGGUGGCGCGGCCCUGUAAUCCGGCGACGCGGAGGCUUGGCCCAGUGGACGGCUUGAGGCGAGGGUGGCUGCUGCGGGACUCCCCAUGUUGAGUGGGCGUCCGCACUAAGCUCGGCAUCAAUAUGGCCGCCCCUGGGGAGCCGGGGGCGUCCAGGUUGCCUAAGGAGGUGUGAACCAGGCCAGGGGGGAAACCCAGCAGCCAAAAGCACCCGUGUGGAGCAGCAGUGGGAUCGCGCCCGUGAGUGGGCGGCGCGCAGUAGCCUUGCCAACACAGGCGAACCUGGUACUUUUAUUUUA